rnacentral:tRNA from 1 species
GCGGAGAUUCCGGAGCGGCCAAACGGAAUAGACUCAAGAAGUAAUUUAGUAUAAUUGAGAUAUCUAUUGGCUUAGUGCCUUCGCAGGUUCGAAUCCUGUUCUCCGCA